rnacentral:tRNA from 1 species
GGUGGGCUGCCCGAGUGGCUAAAGGGGACGGGCUGUAAACCCGUUGGCUAACGCCUACGUUGGUUCGAAUCCAGCGCCCACCACCA